CCCGGAGACAUCAACCAGAGUGUAAGAAUAUUCAAUGUGCUCCAUUUAGCUGAUUCAAGGUACCUUCUCAAAUUCCAACCGCUGGCCAGUCAACGAUCGAUAGUGGAUGUCUGCAGAUAAUUGCUUGAAGGAGAGAAGUCCGGGAAGGUCAGCCAAGAAGCUCGCGGCGGGCGGGAAAGUGAACUCUGCAGGACUACAAUUACCUGGCUGGCGUGAGGCGGCAGAACAGAGUGAAUGACAGUUGAUGGCCGGGCCGUGUGAUCCUGUCCCGAUCCUUCGCCGCGCACACUGACACCGCCAGCUCGCUGCCUCCUCGCUGCCUCCUCGCUGCCUCCUCGCCACGCCCCCCUUCACCGCGGACGCCACCGAGACCCUGCGGAGCUCUAGUUCUGUGAGCCGGUUGGUGGCUUGGCUGCGUGUGACGGAGAGCUCUUCCGCCGCUGCUUCCCGCUUCGACACGCUGUUGAGACGUCGACGACCCCUCUCCCCCGCCCCGGUGACAACAGAGACACGCCCGGCCUCAGCACCCGUUCAGCAGCCCCCGUACAUGGAGACCCCCAGCUGGGCAGG
ensembl:lncRNA